AAAAAUCCAGGAAAAAAUGUUAAAAAACAACCAUCAAGAGCUCAAAAGCACAGGAGCGGUAAAACCGACUGCACAUACACAGAAGACAGUCUUUCAAGGGCCCAGAAACUUUACAGACGAGGGCAAAGUAUCAAGAAUAAACUAGAAGAGUUACACAACAUCACGGGAACUCAUAUUUUUUAUGAGUAUUUGACAGAGAGUGGGACACAUGAAGUGUGGAAAAGUAAAGGCUGUCCUCUAAGACCUGAUGAACAAGCUAGAACUGAAUACAUUGCAAAAAACCCUACUGAAGGUGAAGCAGGACCAUCAGGUAGUAAUGUACAACCGUUAGAAAGUCAUCCACAGUCAGACGAGGAGGUUUUAUUUCCAGCCCCUGUCUUAGAAAACCCUGACACAGAAUCAGAGAAAGAAAACAAUUCGUCAGAUGUAGAAGAAAAUGAAGAAAACUGUAAAGUUUGUGGAAAGCCUGACACUAAAAAAAAAUUUAUUUGGAUAGGUUGUUCUGCAAGGAAAUGCAAUUACUGGGUGCAUUCGUCUUGUACUGGCUUUGUUCAUAAAAAUCAAAGGGCAUUUGAUGAGUUAAAAUAUUUUUGUCCGAAACAUCGUUAAAAUAAUAAAGUUAUGAUGAAUUAUUGAAAUAAAUAUGUAUACCUUUCACCUCUUUAUUCCAUUUUUCAAAAUACUUGUCAGAUUCAUUUUCUCUAUCAUAUUCACGUAAAUCCCUUAGUAAUGCUAAAAUCAUAUCCGAAAGUUGUGCUUUGGUUUUCUUGGUUAUGUCAUGGAAUAUGGAGCGGUUUUCGGGUAUUACGAAAAGUGGUUCCAGUUGUAUUCCUUUGCCUGGUUUACUUCCCUGUUCUAUAGCAGUGAAAUAUUGGUCCCUAUUCCUUUGGCAUUUAGUUUCAAAACAUCUUAGUUCUUUAUCCAAUUCCUUUCCACUGAUAGAUUUAUGUGGUCUGUUUGAUAAAAUGACGGGUUAAAUUCAAAACAAAAAAGGGAAAACAUACGGUGUAUAUCAUUUAAAGUAUAGUUAAUUUUAUGAAAUAAAAUAUAAAUAUAACAAAUGUGGAAACUAUAUAUUGUACUUUUAAUAAAAAAUAUGAAUGGUUUUUUAAAUAUUGAUAAUUCAUUAUAUAAUCACUGUAUACCUUUUGUCAUUAAUAUCUUGUAGAUAUUUACUAUUUCUCAAAAUUUCCCUCCAGCCCGACACUUCCUUUUCAGUGUUUCUUCUAUAUAUAUUGUGAUGAAUAUUGUCCUCCAA